UUUGUUGUUAGGUUUUUGACUCAAAACGUUGAUGUGUGAUUUUUCUAGUUUUGUUAUUCGCAGGAAAUGAGAUUUGAAUCAAAAGUGGUGAGUAAACAUACUAACAGAAAGUUGAGUUUUUGUGGUUGUCAGAUUUAAGUUUGAGCACCAACAACGUUCGUGAGUGAGAUCCAUUAUAUUGCUUCCGUUGCAGUGGUGAACUACCAGCUUUGUUCGCGGGAUACAAAAUGCUAAUAACGACUUUGGGGUAUCAUGCUUAGGGGUACUAGUGUUGUACUCAUACUACACUUGCUGCGCUCUUGUACAAAUACUGAUCCAGGCUCCAGUAUAAGAUUUCAUGGCUGAUCGAGAGUCAGUGAUUCGAGACUUUCAGGGUGAGCUACAUGGUCGUUUGUGGCCCCUGGGACUCUCUUCCUAUUUAUUUUCUGUACUUGAUUUCUACCAGGUGGUUCGCAUACCGAUGAGAAAGUGGUGCCAUCAUGACCGUGAAUGGGUCGUGACACACAUACAAAGAAGCAAAAUAAACAUUUAAAGUAUUCUUUAAGUUUGAAAUUAAUUUUAUAUUCUGUUUAGUAGAAGGUAAAAGUUUAUUCCUUUUACCAAAGAGAGUAUAAAAUUAAUCUCAAAGUUAAUCCUAAAUAUCUCACCUUAUCCUUUAAGCUUGAUAUUAUUUUAUCCACAUCCUAGGUGGAAUAAAAUAAUUCCAGGACUAUAAUCCCGGGAUAACUUAGUCCGCUUACCAAACAACCCCUUAUAGUUUAAGUAG